rnacentral:misc_RNA from 1 species
GUUCACCUUGAAGAGAAUCGAUAAUAGGGAUGCCAAGAAAGAGUUGGAAAUGGAGACUCAGUUGGCUGAAAGUCUUCAGAGUAGUUUAUGCCCUGUAGGGAUUGAAUUAGACCUCAAGAAUGUUGAUAUUUCGGGCAUUGACCCUGUUCAAGAGUUUGGUUUUCUGGUGAUGGGACAUGAAUUUGAUGGUUAUCCUAAGAGAAUGAUUCGAGAGAUGAAGAACUGGAAUUGGUUUAUCGAGGAUGAAGGAGCAGAGAGUGAUACCG